ACAAUAAAUCACAAUGCGGGACUAUUCGUCUUGCAAUUGGAUUGAGAACAAUGUACAACUCUUAUCGAUAAGCCAUUGGAGGGCAAGUCUGGUGCCAGCAGCCGCGGUAAUUCCAGCUCCAAUAGCGUAUAUUAACGUUGUUGCAGUUAAAAAGCUCGUAGUUGAAGUGUGGGUGGUGCCUACUUCAUGACUUCGGUUGUGAGGUGGAUCACCACCCCCUUCCAGUAUCCAGUAGUGGGUAUUCAGUUACUUACUAUUGUGUGUUGGUCGUUUACUGUGAGAAAAUUAGAGUGUUCAAAGCAGGCGUUUGCUUGAAUAGAUUAGCAUGGAAUAAUAAUUGAAGGCUUUCGUGUUCGAUUUGAUUGGUUUGUUCAUGGAAGCAAGGUUAAAAGGAACAGUUGGGGGUAUUCAUAUUCACUAGUUAGAGGUGAAAUUCUCGGAUUUAUGGAAGAUGAACAA
rnacentral:rRNA from 1 species